AGUUCCGAGGUGUUUACAUGUAAGAUUGCAAAUCUUAAGUAGCAGGGUAAAGCCUGCCGGGGCUU
rnacentral:tRNA from 1 species